rnacentral:rRNA from 1 species
UGGGGAAUAUUGCACAAUGGGCGCAAGCCUGAUGCAGCCAUGCCGCGUGUAUGAAGAAGGCCUUCGGGUUGUAAAGUACUUUCAGCGGGGAGGAAGGGAGUAAAGUUAAUACCUUUGCUCAUUGACGUUACCCGCAGAAGAAGCACCGGCUAACUCCGUGCCAGCAGCCGCGGUAAUACGGAGGGUGCAAGCGUUAAUCGGAAUUACUGGGCGUAAAGCGCACGCAGGCGGUUUGUUAAGUCAGAUGUGAAAUCCCCGGGCUCAACCUGGGAACUGCAUCUGAUACUGGCAAGCUUGAGUCUCGUAGAGGGGGGUAGAAUUCCAGGUGUAGCGGUGAAAUGCGUAGAGAUCUGGAGGAAUACCAGUGGCGGAGGCGGCCCCCUGGACAAAGACUGACGCUCAGGUGCGAAAGCGUGGGGAGCAAACAGG